CUAUCUUUGUUGGUUCGCUGGAUGGAUGGAUCGCUCGUCUUAGAGCAACUACAAGAGAGUUGGUGAAAGCUCCCAAAAACUUUUUCAGCACUCAACCGGUGAAUUUUUGGUCUCCAACAGAGCGCCAUUCAUUUCCCAAUUUUUUUUUGCCACGCCGCAUCCACAGCCCCACCCCCGCAUAUUUAGCGAACCAAGGUUUCCCCAAUCCACACACGUGUAGCCUAGUGGUUUGCCGCGUUGCUUUCCACCGUCUCGCGCUCUUCUUCGUGGAGCCAUGACGGAUUGACGGGACGCGACAGCGAGAGAGCCAUCUUCGUCGGUGCUGGAGGUUGCAGCGGCAGAGUCGAGGCAAUGCAUCCGUUAAGGCCGACUGCUUCGGAUCUGCAGGCAACAGCUUGCGGUGAUACCCAGAGGAAGCGUGAGAUGGUGUCCGGCGACACAAGUAUGGACGGGGUUGGAGACCACAUUCCCCGUGGUGGAGUCGAUCUGCGAGGCCUAGCCCGCCGCCGCCACCAUCGCGCGUAUGGCCACGGUGGUGCUCGAGCGUUAGAAGUUCUUCCUGGUGGUGCUCCAGCGUCAGAAUCUAGUCAAUGGGGAGGGGUUCUUGCUAAGUGCUAUUUAAUUGCUUUGUUUUUAGUCAGAUUGAAUGCUUAAGAUAUUUGGCAUCAUUAGAAUGUUCCCAUCUCAUGAAAUGGUAGAUUUGUUUUUUUUAUGGGACACAAUAUAGCUCCUUUUUGUUUUGAUCUGGUGUUGUAAUGCCAGAUUCAUGCCAUGCUAAAAAGAAGUUAAAAGAAGUUUGAUUAAUGUUAUGUUAAUCCAAGUAGUCUCUUGUGCCUGGUUUCCUCUUAUGUGGAGGAUAACCUGAUGUUCAGAGUGAACUGCGUUUGAUGUUUGACACAACCUGAUGUUCAGAGCGAAAUGCUUAUGAUGCUUACUAUACUACUUUAGAAGGUUCAUUAGACUAUAACAUUUUUGUUUGCCCCAAGAAAAUUACUUUUGUAUUUAGGCAGUGGGAGUGAAACUGAACAUGCUGCUAAUGUAUUAGCUUGUGUGUACCAUUAUCAAGAUAUUAUACAGUAUGUAUGCUAAGUGAAGGCACAAAUCCACACGAUUAUGGUGAUUUAUGCUCAUAAGAAGCAAUAUUACAUGAGGCUACGAUCUAAUAUAUUGUCUGAAAAUGCAUAAUGUUAUAGGACAUAUUAGGUGUUGAUUUGUCUUUAGCCAAACUAUUUGUUUUUUUAUAACUGCAGUUAGGUAUCAUUCUUUUGCAUUAUGUAACUCGAUCUGCACAGUUAGCUUGUCAUAUAUAAUUCACACAACAUGUAUCAUUUUACAUUCAUAAGUACUAGUUGUUCACAAAUUUUUGUUGGAAAUCAUCUCAUUACUGGACGGCUUGCUCUACAUAAUGCAGGUUGGUGCCUGGACUGCUUGCUCUACAGAAAACAGUCUAAUGUCGUUGCUAUUCAUCAGCAAUGGCGCACAGAGAAGUGUCAUAGGCAAAACAGAUUGAAUCUGUUUCCUACUUUUCCUUUCCUACUUUUCCUUUGGGGUGUACUCCGUAGCACGGUGUACAUGGAGCUGCUUUGGGCUAUGGGCUUUUCACUGACCAUGAGACUUGUUUUAAAUAUUGGGCCAAAGUUCAAUUUGAGCGAGCUGUUGUGCGUAGGCCUGGGAAUGGGCCAUAAAAACUCAUGGGUAUAAAGGGCCUCCAAAUUCAUGUGCUGAUAAUUUUGGAUCUUUUUUGGUUCACUGUUGAUUAGGGUAGAGUUGGAUCAAGCCAUUUCAUUAAAAGGAGCAGCACGGAUCGAUCAUCAAACCUGGCCCAAUCGUGUGCCCGGAUCAUGUGAAGGGCACAACCCAUGGAUCAUGUGUAGGGCACAACCCGUGGUUCCUGUAGCGUCUUCCUCCACAGUUUGGUCAUCCAAAGAGUAGUGAGGGACCCCCGCCGGCGCCUGCAGCACGCCCUGUCGCUUCAUCGACUAGGCGGCGACCGCGGCCCUCGCCGACCAGCACAGGAAUUAGAGUCGGGACUGCACCUGUAGGAUCUGUGCCCGAAGAAAGGUAUUGCCUAGUUGCUGUUUCCGCAUUUCGUGGUAAAGUUUCCACGUUUGGGUUAUGAACUCCACUUGGAUGGCUUCUUUCACAGUUCAGGGGCCGGAGUUCAGUUAUGAACUUCACUUGCCACUGUUCUUUUGGUAUUUAUGCGGUUAGUCAACAGGGUGCUUGUCUAUCUUUCAGGAGCAAUUCAUGUGUCUCUCUACUCGCAGUAGUUUGUUCUUAAUUAAAGUUUUUUAUGCUUGAACUAUAGUAUGGCUGCAUGUGUAAAGGGCAGGGAUCUCAUCGGAUCUGCAAAAAACAAGAUAUGCGAGAGAACUGCUAGUCCAUUAUAUUAGUUACUUUAGUUUAUGGUUACUGUUUUUUUUCCUGGACAGCUAUGAUUAGAUGCUUUUUCUUGCAACUUUCCAGGGUUGCUUGUCAUAAUUGUUUCAUUGAUGAGAAUCUACAUAGUUGUGCAAGAUGGUAUUACCUCAUACAUCUUAUGUUGUGCAUUCAAGAAAAUUUCCUUCCCUCAUACAUCUUAUGUUGUGCAAGAUGGUAUUACCUCUUGUUUUCUAGAGUGGGGAUUGGUUGGGGAUUUGUUUACUCUGACAUUGGAUAAUGCUAGUGUAAACAGAUCUUCAAUUCUAUUGUUCAAGCAUUGGGUCUUGAAAGUAAAUCAGGGCUGAUUUUUGAUGUUCCACAUCGUUGGAAUGCAACCUAUGAUAUGUUAAAUGAAGCACUAAAAUAUAAGGAUGCUCUUAAUAGGUAUGUAACAGAGCAACAUCAUGAAUGUCCCACUGAAGAAGAUUGGUCAAAGACAGAAGCUCUUCAUGGUUUUCUACAAGAGUUUAGUGAUGCAACCAAAGCAUUCUCAGCGGAUAGACAUCCCACAGCUCAUCUUUUUCUCAAGAUGUUGCUGGUUAUCCGAGGUGUGCUACUUGAUGUGACUUGGAACUCAAAUGAACUCAUUAAUGAGAUGGCAAAUGUUAUGUAUGCUAAGUUCCAAAAAUAUUGGGAAAAUCCUAAUAUUGUGUUGCUCAUAGCUGCUGUUCUAGAUCCAUCAAUGAAGACCGAAUUUGUCAAGUUCUAUUUCUACACAAUUGGUGAUAAUGUUGAUGUGAAGAUGAGGGAGCUCAAAAGGUACUUGAAAAAAUAUUACCUAGAGUAUGAGAAAAUCAUGAGGAGUCAUAGUUUGCCUGUCUUUAUUCCUCAUGAGAAUCAGAUGAGAAGUGAGACUUUUACCUCUUCACCUCUCUGCGGUAAAAGAAGGGUGAAACAUGCAUUUGCUCAAUUUGCAUCUCAAAAUAUGGAUGCCCGUCCAGAGCGAACAUAAAUGGAUACUUACUUGGAGGACCCUAGGAUCCUUGUCAAGCCAGAUGAAAACUUCAAUGUUUUAGGAUGGUGGAAGAAAAACAUAGAUGCCUAUCCAAUAUUGUCUUUGAUGGCUAGAAUUUUUUUGGCUAUUCCUAUGAGUACGGUAUCCUCAGAAUCUGCCUUUAGUGCAGCUGGUAGAAUUCUUGGAAAAAAUAGGACAUCACUAUCUCCUGAAACACUUGAAGCUUUAGUCUGUGCCAAAGACUGGUUGAUUGGAUUCAAUGAUGAAGAAGAAGGUGAACCAAUGACAGGAAAGCGAAUGUUUGAUUCGGAUGAUGAAGAAGAUGAUUGGGAAAUUUGAUGUAGGUAAAACAAUAAUUUUUCGUUUUCUUAAUCACAAAAGUUUCAUCUCUUUAGAAACAUUUUCAUUGUUGGAGCAACAAGACUGCAACACAUGGCCUAAUAUUAUCCUUAACUUUAUUGU